UCCAUUUGAACUGGAAUAUCAGAAUCCAAAAUGGCUGCACUGUACAUCAACAGCAGUAGUGUAACACAGUUUAUUAUCACUUCUUUCUGUUUGUGUCUCAUUUAAUCAGUCAUACACACAGUAACUAGUGUCACAAGCAAUGCUAACCUGGGAAGAUGCUAACAACAUUAGCUUAUAUGUGAAGAUCCUCCAGUGCAGUAAACUCAGAAGGGACAUCAUUCCCAGUGCCAACAUUCAUCAUCAGAGCCUGCAAGCAGUAUUCACCCAUCUGAGACAGAGAGAGAUACAGGGGAAAAGGAGGGAGAGAGAAGAGAGAGAGAGAGUGAGAGGGGGAGGGGCCGCCCGGCAGGAUUCAGAGUUCAAGUGCACGUGCAGGGAGUGAUCUCCAGCAAAGAAAGAAAGACAUCGAAAGGCAGAGAGGUAUUCACCCAGGAAUGAAGGUUUGGGGGUGAGAAGGAGGGGUGAAAGAAAAUCGAAGUCCAGAGCAGAGACGUGAACAAGAAAAUGUAUUCGAGCCAGCCCCCUCCCCUUAACUCUCUCCUCUGCCACACUCCUCCUCGUUCCCUCCCUCCUGUGAACCCCAGCCUCUUGUUUCUUUCUCUAUCAAUUGCUCUCUCUCUUUUUCUCCCUCUCUCUUUCUCCCCUCCCACCUCUUCAUGCACUCGCAUGCAUUCAAUCACACACAUGCAUGCAUGCACCCUGUACUGUCUCCCUCUCUUACGCACGACUGUCUCUCUCUACCUAGCACUCUCCCUCUCUCUCCUAUUAUCCUUCACUCUCUGGUGACCACACUCAGAGCAGUCUACUGAGCUUUCUGCUGCUUCUCUUCUCCUCUGUCUCUCUCUCUCUCUCUUUCGCCUUUCGCUGCCUUGCGUUUCUUCCUGCCGGACCGAGAAACAUGGGCUGCCUCUCAAUGGUUCCCCCUCGUGCCUCCCUGAACAAAUCAGGCCCCACAACUCAAACAGACCUGUUCUUUCAGUUCUUUCCCUUUCUUUGACCUCCUCGACUUGCCCACUGAAGAGCUCAAGAUCAAGUUUUUCCCACACUGACUUCACAAUUUCUUAAGGCUUCUUAAGAUCUUUCCGUCCCACCAGACUCGCAAAACUGUGCUAACCAAUUCCAAAUCUUGACAGCCCAAGUGAGUGUCUUCAGUCUUCUGAUGCGAAGAAAUCCAACAAAGAUGGGGAGACGGCUGAAUGCUGAAUGGACAGAUGAAGAAAAAGAAGAAGAAGAGGAAGAAGUCAGCAAGCAACCUUAAAGGAUGGGUGAGAAACGGAGGAGGCGUGAGAGAGUGAGAAAUGGGGUUCCAACUUAGAGGAGUGCAAUAUAAGAGAGGGUGAUAAGCGAGAAGAGAAGUGAGGGAUCUGGACUCAGCUGCAGCUGAAGAUGACCAAAGGAUAGAUACAGCAUAAAAGGAACAGCGGCAGCUUUUGCAGAACAGAAGACAAAGAAAGUAAAAAAAAAGGAGUGUGAAGAGAGGACAACUCUGCACCAACAUGGCAUGGAAAACCAUGUGUUACGCUUUUCUGUGGGUCCAGAAAGACGUGCAUGUGCAGAACACAGGGCCUAGAGGAAUGCUGUCUUCCACCUCUGCUGUCUUUUGUCAUCUGUGGAAUUCUGUCCCACUGAAAUUAAAGAAGGACCUCGGCUUGUUUACUCUACAGAUAAGUAAAUAAAAUCCUUGGAACAUCCA